rnacentral:lncRNA from 1 species
GGAUUAACCAGGUGGACCCAAUGUAAUCUCAGGUUCCUUAAAUGUAGAAAAGGAAGGCAGAAGACUCAGUGGUAGAGUAAUGCAGUGUGAGAAAGAGUCAGCUGGAUAUUGCUGUCUGGGAGAUAGAAGAGAGCCACAAACAAAGGAAUGCAGGUGGUCUCUCGAAACUGCACAGGGCAUGAAAAUGGAUCCUCCCCUGGAGCCUCCAGGGAUAGAAAUCAGUGACACCUUGAGACCCAGUUUGGACUUCUGACCUCCAGAACUGCAACGUGAUACAUUUGCAUUGGUGUGAGCCACUAAUUUUGAGUUCUGGAGCCACAACUCAGAUAGGAUUCAAUUCAUUAUCGAACCCCUGGGCCUCUCAUCCAGGACCCCAGAGACUUUGUCUUCACUCAUGACUGAUCAGGUAACCAUUGAUGAGUCUGACUUCUGAUCCAGUCCUUCAGACAUCCAACCAUGAAAGCAUGACAAGAUGGCGGGGUAGAUGUUCCUGUCUGUAGAGAGACCAAAAACAAGAGAAAUAGAAGCUGGGGAAAAUGACUGGAGACCAGAAGUUCAACACAGGCCUCAAUGGGCUAAAGUCAAGUUAUUAGUAAGGCUGUAUUUAUUACUGGAGGCUUUGGGAAAAAAGUCUACUUCCAGACUCACUCAAGUUGUCUGACAAAUCCAGUUCCUUGCAGUUGGAGGACUUAAGCCCUUGUUUUCUGAAUGGCUGUCAGCUGGCAGCUGUCCUUAGCUCCCGGAGGCCUCUCUCUGUCCUUGCGUGUGGACCCCUUCAUCUCAAAGCCAGCAGCAGUGCGCUGAAUCCUUUUGUUCUACUGCAUCUCUCUUCUGCUUGCAAAUGGAGACGGUUACUUACUUUUAACAACUCAUGCGAUUAUUCUGAACCCACUUGGAUGAUCCAGGGUAACCUCCCUAUUUUAAGAUCUGUAAGCUUAAUUGCACAACAAAGUCCCGUUGCCAUGUAAUGUAACAUAUUCGCAGAUUCCAGAGAUUGGAGCAUGCACAUCUCUGAGGCGCUAUUAUUCUGCCAACCAUACUCAUGUUUUCUUUACUACUCAUUUGAUUAUUUAAGUGACCAAUGUCAAAACAAUAAAUAGCUCAAACUUUGUGUGUUUUAGAAUAUUUUAAACAAAGCCAAAAUGACCCUUAGAAUCUUGGGAGGAGCUUCUUUGCUCCUCAAGCAUUUUAUUUGCUUUU